rnacentral:tRNA from 4 species
GGGUCGUUAGCUCAGUUGGUAGAGCAAUUGACUUUUAAUCAAUUGGUCGCAGGUUCGAAUCCUGCACGACCCACCA